GAUCACAGCACAUAUAUUACUACAUACACACUUCACUUUUAAUUUAUUCCCAAAUUCACUUUUAACCUAAGAUAACCAUCGCGAUGAAGCAAGCAGCCGUCGUACCCAUCAGCAAGCCGUCGCACCAAGUUCAUCACUGCAGAUCGAUCGCCGUCGCACCACCCAGCUCGAUCGCCAUCGCACCAAUGUUCAUCUAACCGUCACACCCAGCCCUUCAUCUAACCGUCACACCCAGCCCUCUCUCUGUCACACCCAACCCUCGCACCAUCAACGGUCUCUCGCAAACGGUCGAAAACCCUCGCAAACCCAACCCUCUAUGUCUGUCUUUGUCUCAAUGGUCUCUCCCUCAAUCGGUCUCUCGGCGUGCCCAGGCAUCGGUGUGGCCUCCUACUCGCAAACCCUCGCAAACCCAACCCUCUGUCUCUGUUUCAGUGGUCUCUUCCUUAAUCGGCACCAUAAACACACUGCUAAGUCUUUUUACACAAACCAGAAAACAAGUCAUGAAAGAAUAAAAAAAUCAAGGUUGUGAACGAAAUUGGUAAAACUGUGUCUGAAAAUGUUUUCAGGAUCCUCAUAUUCAUGUUAUACAUACCAAGGUAACGAGAUCUUUAGAAAGAUUCUGAGGAAUUGAAGAAGAAAAAGGUUCCCUCUGUUGUUAAACGUUUCGUAUGCUUCAACACUGAAACCAAUCAUAACGGUGUUUUGUUCUUCAUGGGGCAUGUGUAGCCACCAAAUGGCAGAACAAUGAAAUAGACGAAGGGAACAAGGGUAUGAAAUUCUUGUUUCAGAAGAAAAAGAAGAAAAAAAAAAAUCUAACCCUGGAGCACUAUACAAACUACAAAGCCUCAGAUCUUGAAACUGUUGUUCUUGCACUUGUAGAUUUGCAGCUCAACACCAAAGCCAGUUCCCUGAAUGCUAUAUGUGAAAAGUAUAAACAACAUAAGUGUUAUGGUUUUGUGUACCGAAACCAAUGCCUGCUAUGUGGAGCAAAUUGAUGGCAUUCCUAAGUUACAAGGUGGUGUCUCCUCUUCUGGAAAAAUGUUUGAUGAUGGCUUGGUUUCGACAUUCCAUCGGCAUCAUACUCUGAAUCAUAGAUCCAAGGUUUGCUUGCUGCGUUAUUGGCUAUUGAUUAUUCAGUGGAUUCAAUUUGUUGAUGUGCAAAAGAAGGCAGCGGCAGCGGCUAAGAGAGGAGGCAAGGUGGCUGCUUUGUUGAAAUAAUUAUGUAGGUGUGAAACAUGAAGCAUUCAUGCUUGGAGCUUCCAAGGGCAAGCACACAAACAAAGGAUUUGAUAUUUUCAUUACGACUUCACCAAUACUAGAUCUGAAUGAGAAGCUUAUUGUGUUGGGGCGAGUCGUCAAGGGAAAUUAAGGAUGUUCAGGUUCAAGCUGGGGCCAAGGGUACUGAGAGCAUGAACUGGGAUGCAAUGGUUAUGCAGAUGUAUAAAUCAAUAUAUUCAUAAACUAUAUAUAUUUGCAUUGCAUGAUAUAUUUGUAAUGAAUCUUACUCUUACCAAAAGAUUUAGUUAGUUCAUAUAUAUAGAAUUAAACAAAAAGCAUUGCAUCAUUGCAUCAUUGGUAUGUAUCCAGAAUAAUCAGUUGUCUAAAUAUAUUGUUUUUAUUUUUUUCAAA